rnacentral:lncRNA from 1 species
AGCACUAACGUUUUGCUUUGGAUUCACCUCAGAUUGUGAAGGCAAUCUCCCUAAUACUUUAGACUCUUGACGGCUCACUGUAGUCGCCAAUUAACUCAUUUGGUUCUCCAAAUUCUGAAUGCUUGUUGUAGUUGCCUGUUGAAAUUAUUGAGUGUUAGUCGCAAGUGAUUUAACAAUUUCUUCAAGAGAUAUACCUGACUUGGAGUUUGACUGUGGAGGUGCUGGUUGUCUUGGUGGAUACUGUUGUGGGAAUCCUGACGGCCUAACUCCAUAGCUGAAGUUGGGAUGAUCCUUCCAUCCCGGAUUGUAUGUUUGUGCAUAAGGAUCAUACCUCCUCUGAAGCAUGCCUGGAAAUCCUCCAACUGCAUUGGCUUAUUCAGCGGGUUCUUCUUGAAGUGUAGGACACAUAUCAGUUGAAUGACCCAUAUUGUAACAAAUACCACAAGUCUUCACCUGUUGCACAUUACCUACAACAAACUUUUCCACAAGAGAAGUAAGUUUAUCUAAACGUUGUUCAACAGAAGAAAUAUUUACCUCAUUCACCGUUCUUGAAGUGGCAUCUUGCCUGUUGCCAAAUUGUUGUGCAUUGGCAGCCAUAUUUGAGAUCAACUCCCUUGCUUGAGUAGGGGUCUUGUUCACCAACACGCCUCCACUAGCAGCAUCUAUCAUACUCCUAUCCAUCAAUGACAAUCCUUCGUAAAAAUAUUGAAUAAGAAGUUGAUCAGAAAUCUGAUGCUGAGGACAGCUAAAAAAUUAAAAAAAUAUAUGCAUAUAUAAAACUGCUGUACCGUACAUCCGCCUUGGCCGUACAGCAGCUUCGUAAAAAUAUUGAAUAAGAAGUUGAUCAGAAAUCUGAUGCUGAGGACAGCUGGCACACAAUUUUUUGAAUCGCUCCCAAUACUCAUACAAAGUCUCCCUAGGAAGUUGUUUGAUCCCAUAAAUAUCCUUUCUGAUGUUGGCAGCUUUUGAAGCAGGAAAGUACUUCUCGAGGAACUGCUUCUUCAAACCAUUCCACGUUGUAAUUUAUCCAUGAGGCAAGUAGUACAACCAGUCUUUAGCUAGCCCAUCUACAGAGAACGGAAAAGCACGCAGCUUAAUCUGCUCUUCAGUCACGCCUUGUGGUCUCAUACUUGAACACACAACAUGAAACUCCUUAAGAUGUUUAUGAGGAUCUUCACCUGCAAAACCAUGAAACUUGGGUAAUAAAUGAAUAAGACUAGACUUUAAUUCAAAAUUUACCUCCAAGUCUACAUAUUGAAUGCAGAGUGGUUGUUGAUUCAAGUCUGGUUCAGCUUACUCUCUAAGAGUUCUUUCUACAAGUGCAGGUCUAUCCAUCACUUGUUCUUUUGAAUCGCUAAAUGAUUCAACUAAAUCAGGCACUGUAUCUGUUUCAGAAAGCAAAGGCGACGAGGAUCGUUGCUUAGCUCGCUUCGUCUGCUGUCUCAGCUGGCGAGCUGUCUUCUCAAUUUCAAGAUCAAACGAAAGUGUACCUGUACGAGAAGAACGAACCAUACACCAAGUAAAACGUAAAAAGGAUUUAAUAAAUGACACCAAUCCCCGGUAACGGCACCAAAAUUUGAUGGUUGUCGAAGCCAACAAAAAGAAAUUCCUACUCUAAAUAAAUUGUGUAUAGUGAUUGAGCAGGGUCUCGACUACUGAUCAUUGAUUCAAAUAUAGAUUAUUAUUACUUAUGAAUAGAUCGGUUAUAGCUACUGAGACCCUCUAAUAGCCAAUCUCUCCUUAACUAGUCGAUAACCAAGGUACGACCGUUGACUAUUUCCCUAAUCAAUGGACAACCCUAGAUACGAUCAUAGGAUUUAAUCAAUUGACAGCCUGAAAGACCAGAGAGACCCAAAUCCUAAUCAACACAUACAAUGAUUCAUUUAAAUUAGAUUGUUUAUUCUCAUAACACAACUCACUGCUAUGUUAUUUGUCACAAACAUUAAAAUCUUCAUACGAUGAAUCUUUUAAUUAACAAUAGAUUAAGUUGAUAAUUAAAUAGUGGCCAAUUACCUAAUUAACAAACAUAAUCAUGAAAAUAAUUCAAAGAAUAAACAAAUACCCAAAAAGCAAUAAAACAAUUAAAGCAUAAGAAAGAUCUCACAGUAGUGAUGAAUCAAAGUUUCAUUAUCCUUCAAUCAAAAAUAUAGGUUUAGUUCUUCAUAGAGAGAAGAGAAAAGUUUAGAUCUAGGGUUUCUUUCUCUUCUCCAAAAGUCCCCCCUUUUUUUCACAAUAGAUUCCUCUCUUAAAUACUCUCUCUCUCUUCUCCUCUAGAAUUCUAUUUAAAAUAAAAUACUAAUAUCUGAAAUAUUAAAUUCAUAAUUACAAAAAUAACCAAAAAUAUAAAACAUGUUAAACUAAAAACUGCAGGUCCGUAGUUGACAGCACGCGCCCACGCCUUAUCAACAAAGUUCUUCUGACGCUUAUAAUUUCUCCAAGAGAACAAUCAUCCUUAAACAUCAUCUCGUAGCUCAAUUUUAGCACCAAUCAAUAGAAUUGCACCUAUAAAAAUAAAACACAAGUAAAUCACUAUUAUUAAGUGCAAAACAUCGAUAUUAAGGAAAGUAAACAAUGCAAAACUAGUGCAUAAAUUGCACUCUAACAAUGUUCGUUUAUGUGAGGGUCUACAUGACUAUAUAUACAUUCAAGCAAACCUAAAAGGUCUAAAUAUUCUUUUCCAAGUUUUAAGAGAUAAAUAGAAGGAAUCUUUGCCAUUUUCCGUAAAACAAAAAUAAUAAUGUAAAUUUCAUAAGUGCUUUUUUUUUUCUUUCGACAGCUAUGAUGUUUAUGAAAAAACGAAAUCAUUGACUUCUUACCAAUUGGUUCUAAAUAGCAUUAUUUAGAGGUCAAUAACCUGCUUCUUUUUGGGGUAAUCAGGAAAAGAUUUUUCAUACUCGUUCAAAAAUAAUUGAUGCAAAUACCUAGUCAAAGUGAGUGUUAAUAGAAACGAUACACAAUUUUUAAUAUCUUUCAAUGGGGUAUACUUAGCGGCACAUUGAUAAAGGGACAUUUUAGUCUCUUGACAAUCGCUUUCGGACUUGCAUGACUUAACUUGCAAAUUGCAAGCUCUUAUCUUCGAUUUCCCAUCUCAUUUUACUUGACCAUAGUAAUAAUCACUACUUUCAAUGAUGUGAUAUAUAUGGCAUCAGUAGUGAGGAAUUUCGAACUACCAAUUUUUGCAAUUUCUGUGCAAAGUCUAUUCAGCAAUUAAAAAUAGGUGAUUUUUUUUACAUGAAUUGUAGGGUUCACUCAAACUCAUAGCUAUUUAAUGAAAAUUUUGUUUUCAUUUGCGGCGGCUGUUAAAUUUGGUACUUUUUGAUCCUUGAGAGUUGGGAGAUCAUUAGUCAUUGCUUUCUUCUUCUUCUUUUUUCUUUUUUCUUUUUCCUUUUUCUUUUUUUUUAAAAGACAAUAAAAUUCAUUAAAUGAAAAGAGUACAACAAAAUUCACUACUUUGAGUGGUAUAUUUAGAAAAAUAAUUUACCCGAAACUAAAUUAGAUAAUAGUAAAAUGUGAAAACUAAAGCUUUCAUUCUAUAAAAUAUUUGCCAAUACAUUUAUAAUUGUUCUCGACACAUUUUCAUAUUUUGAAAAUUUUAUGCAAUAAACUAAUUAUUAAUACAAUAAGAUGUAUUAUUUUAUAAAUUAUCAUUUGUUCGUUCAUUUCUCAUCUGAUUCCAAAGAUGAUUUCCAAUGAAUUUCACUACUGAAAACAUUUUCUUUACCAUUAAUAUAUAUAGAAACUGGAAGAAUUAAUGCUAUCUUGGAGAAUAGAAAAUGUCAGUGGCUGUUUUUGUUUUUAUUAAAGUGUAGGCUUUUAUAGUUCUUAUGUUAUGGAAGCUACUUUAAUAAAUUUAACGGAAACUAAUUAGAAACCCAAAAUAAUUUUUUCUUUUAUUCUUAUAACUUUUUGGGUCGGCCACUACCUACUUUCAAUGACUCUUGAUGAGCAUAAUUUAUAUACAUAUUUUACCCUUAAUUAUAUAAUUGCUAGUUAUUUUUAUUUGUUAUUUUUAAUUAAUUAAAUUAUUUUAUUGAAUAGGGGAUUAAUUGGAGAUUAUGGAUAAAAAAGGACAUAAGGGAGCUAAAUUUUGGAAGCGUUAAUUAAUUGAUUUCAGAAGCAAUUAGACAUACAUGCAUGUGGAAGUGAAGCCGAGGAAACCGAAGCUAGUAAAUUAAUUGAUCUAGCACAUGAAGAAGAAUUUAAGCAUAACAUUGGCUUUAGCUUAGUUAAGUUACACGUGCAUAGCAUUGUAAUGCAUGGAAAGCAACUUAAAGGGGCCCACACUUGACUUUUACAAUUGGAAAAAGGAAUCCUAGUGCAAGUUUAAUUGGUGAUCACGUGUGAGAGCUUAAGCAAAUAAAAGGGCAAGCCUUUUGGCUUUAGGAUUUAAGAGAUGGGGCCCAUUUCAAAGAUUAUAAAAGUAAGCUUUUGGCUUUUGGAGAAGGGCCGCCAGAGGAGGAGAAAAAGGCUGAAGAGAGCAAUCGGCAGCAUCAAUAUUUCGGCUUCAUGGCUGAUUUUAUUUAUUUUGUUGCUCCCAAUUCAAGUAUGUCUAACUAAUUUUCUUAUACUGAGGUUAAGGAUGAAACCCUAUUCAAUGAAAUAAUUAUCUUUUUAUUUAAUUAAUUCCCUACAUAUGUUCUUUGAUGAUUAUGGUUUUUAUUUCACAUGAUUAAUUGGAUGUUAAUAAAAUCUUUUCAUCAAUUCUGUCAUGCAUUAUUGAUUGUUAGGAUUAAUAUUCGAUUAAAUCUAUGCUUGGAUUUAUAAAGUUUAUACAUGAUUAUCUUUGAUUCUAUGUCUUUCAUUAAAUUGUUUACAUAGAGUGCUUAGGAAACUUUGACUCUUUGUUAUUCAAUAUGUUUACAUGGGAUGCUUAGAUGUCAUACUAUUAAGCAGAAAAAGAACCUACAUUAGAUUUAAUUACUUGGGCUUAAUUGAUAUAUCCAUGAGAUGACAUAGAUUGAUUUCGAGUUGUCACUCUAAAAUUGGGGGUUAAUUAAUAAUUAGAUAAUGACUAAUUGAAUAGUGGUGGAUUCUGAAACCUUGGUUAUUUAUCUUAUUGAUUUCUCAUUUGCUUUAAUUGUUUUCUUAGUUUAAUUAGUUUAAUUUCUCUUAAAACUCAAAUUGCUCAACUAGGUUAGAAUUAAUAUUAAUUUUAGAUUUAAAUUAGACUUUUCAAUUUAUAACAAUUCCUGUGGGAUCGACCUCGUUACCACUAUUCUAACUCUAGACUCUACUGGGUGAAAGUUAAUAUACGUAGAUGAGAUAAGUGAAGAAAGUUAAUAUACAUCAUUAACUUCAACGGAACUUUUUUCUUUGAUUCAUUUUGAUGAGAUAAGCUUAAAAGAAUUAAUUUAUUUCUGUAGUAUUAAACAACACUUUUGUGAACUAAACUCAACAUACAGGAAUGCAGGAGGCCUAAUGCGGCAAAAUAAAAUAAUAAUCAUAAUUAUUAUUAUUAAAUAAAAAAAAUUAAUUAAUUAAUUAAUACUCACUUCCAAACUAUUUUUUGAAACGGAAUUAUCAAAAAUUUAAUAAAAUAAUUUUUUAAAAAUUGGUUAAUAAUAAAAGAAUUUUUUAAUAUUCAGAAUAAUUUGAAAAAAAUUAUAUUUUAUUUGAUAAUUAAAAUAAAUUUGGUGUGUCAUGAGAGUCUACAUGGCUACAUAUACAUUUGAGCAAAUCUAAGAGGUCUAGUUGUUCUUUAUGAAGUUUUAAGAGAUAAGCAAAGGGAAUCUUUAUCAUUUUCUAUAAAAUAGAAAAAAAUAAUAUAAAUUUUAUAAGUGCUUUUUUUUUAGCUUACAAUAGUUAUCAUGAUUAUGAAAAAACAAAAUCAAAGAUUUUUUUAUAAUACGGUAUGAAUAUGAAAUAUCUAGUUGAUGGAGAAAGAUAUUUCAUUUAACACGAUGUCCAUUAUUGUCAUUUGCAAUCUUACAGCAGUUUAAUAGUAAUAUUUAUGAAACACAUAAGACUACUUUUAAAACUCACAGCACUUUUACAAAUAAAUUUUAUCAAAUAUUUAACUGAUUAUCUUUACAACUGAUUAUUUAUAUAGCACAACUAACAACAAUUAUUGGGUUAUUAGGUUUUGAUAGUAAUUCUUAAUUUUGUAACUCCCAUUUGUUGGUAAAUUUAUCUUUUAGUCUUUACCCGUGGACGUAAACUUACGCCAAACCACAUAAAGUAAUGUGUUCAAUUUAUUUUUUUUCAUUUGUUUAUUAUUAUAUUUAUAUUUCUCUGAAAGUUGUAGUCGUCAUAAUAUUAAUAAUUGCUCAACCCAAACGCUUUUGCAAUAAAAAUCCAGGCAGAGCCUGAAAUCUACUUUGAACCAAAGUGGCAUCAUCCGGAUAACUUAGAAGAGAAAUUAAGCAACAUUGGAUCCCUCUCUACUGACUUCGAUCCACCAACACUAUCAAGCAUGGAAUAUGGAAGAGGAUAUUUUGUUUUAAGUGCUGAAAUUUGAUUUCACAUUGCACUAACUUUGUAAAUUUUGUGGAUCAAUUUCAGAAUGUAAAAUCGUAAGGACUUUCUUGGACAGAAUCUCUGUCUAUCUCAAGUGGAAAGGGGCCACAAAGUAUGUCCAAGAGAAUGAAAUUUAGAAAGACCCCAGUUACAAAAAAUUGGAACGCUUGAAUGGACGGAUGGCAAUACUCAUGGAAAGGACGAUGUCUUCAUUAGGGGUUUUUUGAAUUUGGAGAUUAAGGCAGGGUGUCGCACUCAGCCCAAAAUCAUCAAUCAUGAAAAUAUUAGCUGUUUAUUUUAUCCAAAAAAAAAGUAAAACUUAUGGAGAGAGUAAGACAGAGAGAAACAAAAGUGUACACCAUGAAUUUAAAUCUCAGGAACCAGCAAAGGUCUACAAAAACAAAAAGAGUUUCAGAGACAGUUGAUAACAAAUACUAAUAAGAAUAAUAAUAAAAUUUUCCUUUAGUUCUUAUGCAACAGAUGAAGGAUGGUAAGGAAUAGGAAUCAUGCACAAAUCUUGUUUUCUUCUUACUGUCGUGGCAAAGGCCUCGGUCAUGUCCAAAUCUUCAUGCUUCAUACCAUUUGGUAGUUUCCAGUCAAAAUGGUAUAAUAGCAUCGCCAGUGGAAGUUCCACGCUGGCCAGACCAAAUGACAUUCCAGGGCAUAUCCUCCUACCAGCUCCAAAUGGUAUGAAUUCAAAAUUAGUACCCUUGUAGUCAAUAGAAUGAUCGAGGAACCUCUCUGGAAUAAAGCUCGCAGGUUCAGUCCAGUACUUGGGAUCUCUUCCAAUCGCCCAUGCAUUAACAAAAACUUUAGCUUUCACAGGAAUGUCAAAUCCAUUAAUUUGACAUCUCUCUCCACAUUCUCUUGGAAGUAGCAACGGAGCAACAGGAUGUAAUCUCAAAGUCUCCUUAACAAAUAGCUUAAAAAAUUUCAUUUCAUCAAUGCUAGUUUCAUUAACCUUUCCUGUUCUAUGAAAUACUUCUCUCACCUCAGCUUGUGCCUUUUUCAUCACCCUUGGAUUUCUCAUCAUUUCACACAUUGCCCAAUCCACAGUCGUAGCAGAUGUUUCACUCCCAGCAGCAAAAAUGUCCUGAAAGGGGUUUAUGCAUAUGAGUUAGUCCAGAUAAUUAUAUGGUGUCACUCAUCUUCAGGGACGUAAUCUAGUAUAGGAAUGCCCCAGCUCGCUUUUUAUUUUUUAUAAUGAUUAUUGGGGAAAAAAUAUAUCUGAUUUAUUAUUUAAGAAAUUGCCUCAGCUAAAUUAUAAAAUUGAGAAAGUGCAAUGGUUAAUUUUAAAAGAUUUCAUGUUGGCCCUAACUUAACUGUCUAAUUCUAAUUAAUAUGAUUAAUCAUUAAAACGUUAUAAAACUUAACUAAAGAAAAAAGAUUAUUAAGAUAGAAUUAAAAAAAUUUUAAAAAAGAUUUUUACUUUACUUUUUGUUUUUGUCUUUUCCGUCUCUUUCCAAUGCUUUGAACGAAGCACAAUUGUGUUUUUGUUUGUCAUGGAGUAAUGUACGGAUUUUAUCCUACUUCCCUAAAUCAAAAGUAACUUUUGUGCAAUUAUUUAGUCUUUCAACAUUAAUUCCUAAGUUGUAAGCCUAGCUAGUUCUAAUGUUUAAUUUUUUCCAUUGAUUUUUUAUCUAGUUUCAAAAUUCCUAAUUUUAUGAUGUAAUUAUGUUUGAUAUUUGUGCUGCAUCAUAUGAGUACGUAUUUUCAAUAUUAUAAACAGGUUUUAAGAAAAAAAUUAAGUGAUAAAUUAGUUGUGUAUAUUAGAGAAGAUGUUUUUAAUUGUAUUAAUAAUGAAACUAUUAUACAAUAUUUUUAACAUAUGAAAUAUUGUUAAGGAGUCUUUGACGAGGACAAUUUGUAAUAAAUAAAUUUAUUGUCAAUGUAUAUUAUAGUUGCAAUGUUCUAUAUUGCUAUAUAAAUUUUUAGAAUUGUAUUAAAUUUUAAAUGGGGGUGCUAACUAAGGGCAUGCUCUGUGCACAUGGCUAGCCUUCGUUUGGAGGUUGUGGGGCCCACGCCCCUGCUCAACUUAUCACAUGACACUCGACUAACAAUAAAAGAAACAACUUAAUGAAAAACAAAAUGGAAUUGAUGAUAUUAAAUGCAUAGUUACUCACAAAGAUUACUGCUUUAAUAUGGUCUGUAGUCAAGAAAGAAUCAAGAUCUCCACGCCCUUGAAUUUUCAACAGAACAUCAACCAGAUCUUCAUCAUCACCAAUCUUGGAAAUCUUCAAUGUUGCCUUGCGCUUCUUAUGUUCAUUGAUAAUGUUUUUAACUAUUCUGUCAGCUUCUUGAUGCAGCCUCUCCACCCGAGACUUGUUUCCAGUAAGCCACUGAAGGAAUCCAACGGAAGGAAACAUAUCUGCGAUAUUAAAACCUGACAUCACUUUUGUUAUUUCCGCUAUAACUGAGGCAAAUGCUUCUUCGUCUCUGGAUCUGUUUCCAAAGGCUGCCCUUGAAGUGAUACCAUACAUUAAUGAGUAAACUUUCUCAGUUAAGUUAAUAACUGAUCCAGCUUUCGAAGAAAUCCAAUCAAUGAGAUCAGACACCUCUGCUUCUCUUAUCGAUUGGAAAGAUUGGACUCUUUUGGCGCUCAAAAGCUCAGAUACACAGAUUUUUCGCAGUUGUUUCCAAGAAUCACCAUAUGGUGAAAAGAUAAUAUCACGAUAAUUAUAAGAGAUGAUUUGUGCUGGUGGAAAAUGAGGCCUGGAUGCAAAGAUAACAUCAUGCGUUUUCAUAACUUCUUUGGCAACUUCAGGGGAAGAUACAAUAAUGGCUGGAACUUGCCCCAGUUGUAGGAGCAUAAGGGGUCCAUAUUUCUUGGUUAAGUCUCUUAGUCGGUGAUGGGGUAGGAAGCCAGCAAGCUGGUGCAAGUUUCCUAUUACAGGUAAUUUCCACGGCCCUGGUGGUAGAUUUGAGACUCUGUUUUUAGUUUCUGAUCUCCUCUCUAGCUUAAGCAAAGUUAAGGCAGAGAGAAGAAUAGCUAGAAGGAUGAACAAGGAGGAGAUCCCAAGAAGCUCCAUUUGAAAUGAACAGGAAAAUGGAGAUUGAAAUUUUACUAGUCGGUAGGUAUAUCCACGCUGUGGAUCUUUUGUUGUCUUUCAUCCAAAAUAUCUUUAAAAAAUGGGAAGGAUAAUGAUUGAUUGCAUUACAUGUGCCCUAUUCUGACACUUCCUAAUAUGGGCAAAGAUUGGUUGGCCACUAUAAAUACACGAGUAAAUGUCACUGAAUAUUCACUUUAGUUUUAUCGAUUUAAAUGAUAUUCAUAUUAUAUUGAUAAUAUAGGAAGUGUAUAUAACUAAACGACAAAAAGGCUAAGAGAAAUAAGCCAUGAGAAUUAGAGCUAAUAAAUUUAACACGAACUAAUUAUCUAACAUGAAUUCAAAUGAAUAAAUUAGUAUGAAUUAUUAAAUUUAAUAUAAAUAUUAAAUAAGCCAAAUCUAGAUUAACAUAAUUUUUUUUUCGUACCGAAUUAAAAUUAAAGUUUUUAACUUAUUUAUCUAAUUAAUAAUAUAAUUAUUAUUUUUUUAGUCGGUAGGCAUAUCCAAGCUGUGGAUCUUUUGAGGCCUUUCAUCCAAGGACUCGACUAGCUUACAGAAUCUGUAAGGUACAGACUGCAGCAUCAGCCGUUGGAUGUGGUUGGAUGUGGAGUGAGAAACUAAACAAUAAAAAAUCGGAUGGUGGGAUGACGGGAGAUGUUUGUUACAGAAUCUGUACCAUAGACAGGUCCUUCAUCCAAAAUAUCUUUAAUCAGUACACACAUUGCAAAUGUGAAGGAUGAUGAUUGGUUGCAUAACCUGUGUCCUACAUUUCCAUAAUAAUACGGAUAAACAUUGGUUGGCCACUAUAAAUAGAUGAGUAAAUGUCACUGAAUGUUCACUUUUAUCGAUGUAAAUGAUAUUCAUAUUACAACCCUUGAUAAUAUAGGAAGUGAUAAAGGGGCUAAGAGAAAAAAGCCAUGGGAAUUAGAGUUACCAAAUUACAACCUUUUUACAUGACGCGAAUAUAAUAUGAAUAAAUAUGUAUGAAUUAUCAAAUUAAUACGAUUAUUAAAUAGAUCGACUCUAGGUUAAUAUGAUUAUUUUCAAGUCGAGUUAAGGUUAAAAUUUUUAUCCAUUUACUCGAUUAAUGAAACAAUUAUAUUUUUAUUUUAAAUCACAAUACUAAAAAAUUGGAAUUUAUUGAUACUAAUUUAAUGACAGUAAUCCAUUUUAUUGACACUUGUUAAUUGUGUUAGUAAUACUCAAGCCAGAAUACACUGACACUAAUUUUUAGUGUCAGUGAUUUUUGUGUCAGUAAUUUAUUUCACUAUAGUAUCACUAAAAUAUCAACUCGGUGAUAUUAGUGUUUCAUGAUACUAUUUACAUGUCAGUAAUUUAUGUGAUUAUAGUAUCAUAAAUUGACUCAAUAUAAAAAAUUAUUAAUAUUUAUUAAUGUUAUGCUGCUUUUGGUUAAUAAUAUAUUUUUAUUUUAAUUAUAUUUUUCAUGCUUGUUGUACAACCAAAAGAAAACUCAAAAUAUAUCAAACAUAAAAUAUCUUGCAACAAUUCAUAUAAUAAACAUCCCAAAUACAUCACUUAAAUUUAAACAAUUCAACUACACCAUUAUUUGGAAAAGACAAACAUAAGUACCAAAUUAAAUUUCCGACAAUCUCUUAACAAGUACUAAUGAUUACUAAAUUAAGUUUCCAACCAAAAAAAAAACAAAAUCCCAACAAGAUCACUCAAUAUCCAUCCGCAUUUUUUUUUUCCACCAACAAGUGCAUAAAAUCAAUUAGUAUACCAUGAAAAUAAAUCUUGAAUAUUUUGAAACAAAAACACUUAUAAAUUACUCAUAUAUUACCUCAUAUAUUAACUUGGCAACAUGUAGAUUCUACAAUUUCCUUUUCUGAAUCAUUAACUUGCUUCUUUUAAUCCUGCUAUUCCAUGAUGAAGCUCAUACUUCAUUUUCCCUCAAUUAUCACAAAUUGCUUCACCAAAAGUAUUCUAUCAAGUAUUAAAGAAAACACUUAAUAAAUACAUAAGUACUCAGUAAUAAAUACAUCAGUAUUCGGUAAUCAAGACAUGAAUAAUGGUGUCUAGAAAUUGGCAAGCAUAACUUAUAUUUUUGUAAUCUAUUUCAUUGUUUAAAUUUAAAGUGAACAAUACUAUAAUAUACGAUCAAAUACAUUAAGUUAACAAGCACUAUAGCACUUAUAGUGCCCACAUUCAACAAUGAUCGAUUGGACCGAAAGCCAUAAAUUGAAAAAAAAAUGAAAAAAAUAUAUUUAAUGAACUUAGAGGAAAAAUAAAAAUUAUCAACAUUUAAACAUCUAGUGAAGAAAUUAACCAAGCCGACAUGAAAAUAGAAAUAGAAGGCCACUUAACACAAAGUAACUACUCCCUAGACUAGCAAAUUUCCCUUUCAUUUCCCAAAUGAACAAAAAUAUCAAAAACCAAAAUACCAAACUAAACCAAAUCACAAAACCCAAAUUGAGUUUGCAUUUUUCACUUUAAAGCUUUGACGGUAUUAAAAAGUGCAGGCCAAGUGUUUGUCAAAAUGAAUCAAUGAACCCCAGCAGCAAAUGAACAUUCAAUCACCUUCAUGACUACAAAUCACAGAUGCAUUACUCCUACACAAACUGCAAAAUGACAAACAUAAAAAUCAGUGACUUCUUAACGUAUGCUUUAACAAAGGUACAAACAGUGAUAAAUCAAAAUCACCGUAUAGCACCUGAAAACGACUAGAAACAAUGUUAGUGUCCUGGAGGUACUAUGGACGACCAAGAGAAAGGAACGCAAACUUCCACUACAAAUGAGAAAUAUAAUAACAAAAUUAGUACAAAAUCGGGUCUUCUCAUAUUUAUAUUCACUAAUAAGAAAAACUACAAACAUCGUAAUACUAUGAAUAACAUAUUUUUUGAAAAGAAAAAUCAGCAAUGCUAAUAAUAGGAAAUUUCUUUACUGAAUAAUGUGGUAAAGAAUAUGAUUUAUUGAACAUUACAAAUCAUUCACAAGCCCAAAAGAGUGGUUCUAAAAUUGCAUGAUGCAUAAUGCGAAAAAUGCUUGAAAUCUAGCUCUACUAAAACAAAUGACCAGUCAUCCAGUCUUUACUUUUUACUAUUAUAAUAUUUCUACUUCCUAUUGAAGCAAAGGAAAUAAACUUUGGUUAAGGAAAACAUGAUGCACUCCCAAGGAAUAUAAACCUUAGCAAACUCUUCAUCUGGAACUAGCAAUUUCCCCUGUAUUCGAACUUUUAUUUCUUGCAAAGUCUCACCUUCGUGUAUGACUAAGAAAAAUAGUUCACCAAAGUUCUGAAUUUGUUGCCAAAUAGAGAUAGUGCUAAGAUGGUGGGAUAUAAAUGAAGUAUUUGAGAUUCACUAUGUAAAUAGCUUGGAGAGUUAUAAUUACCAUCUGUUUCUGAACAAUCUCUUUUAUAAAGAGAUAAACAUGAAUUAGACGAUCGUGUGGACCAAGAUGCAUGAGCAUUCUCUUUAAGCUUCUACUCUUGAAAUGUUCAAUCAAAUCAUUCAUUAAUUUUAUGUUUAGACUAGAUGCAUGAGCACAUUAGCUGUGAAAAAAAAUUGAACUUUUGACUUCUCGAUUUCAAUUUUUAUGUCUCGACUCUAGAGAGUAAAAAAGGUUAAAGAUCAGAAAAGUAAUUCAAUCAUAAAUCUUACAUCCAACUAACAAAGCAGGAAGUUUUAUCAAGAAGGCAAGUUUUUUUAUUAUAAGACGCAAUUCUCCCAUUCCCGAAGAGGGAUACUAGUUGGCAAGGCUUCUUAUAGCCAAUUAAAGAAAACACAGUACUUAAUAUAUCAAUUUAAUAACUCAUCACAUCACUCAACCCCACACAACACAUUUAAUCUUCUAUAAUAUACCUAACCCCUUAAAACCUCAUAAACUAAACAAAAACAUAUUUACUCAACCUCAUCACUGUUAGGAAAUUGAGCUUCCUCCCAAGAUCACUCCAAGCAAUUUAUCAAGCAACAAAUUAAUAGAAAAAAAUUAAAUGGAGAAUACAUCAAUCACACAACACAAGAUUUACGUGGAAAACUCCAAAUCUGGAGAAAAAUCACGGCCGUUGUCACAAGACAACCAGAGAAAAAUAUUCACUAUAUGGAAAAUUAUUACAACCACUCUCAGAAAUAAUUUUCUCUCACCCAAGCCCCAAAUACAUAAUCCCGAUAAAUAUUCCUUAACAAAGCAAACCCAUAAUACCCAUAUUGAGGAGCCAAAUGCUCCCUCAAUAUAACUACAUGCUUAAGAAUAUUUUUAUCUCUCAAUUCUCACCAAAAUUUGGAUCGCUUCUCUAGGAUUUGGAUACAAAAAUAAGGAGGAGCACUCCUCUAUUUAUAGCCAAAUUAUGACUUCCUUUUCUUCCUUUUUUCCUUCUUUCCAUGGGCAGCACCUACCCAUUUUCCUUGUUCAAUGGCUAGCCACCCACCAUCUUUGAAUUCAAAGAUGGUUGCUCAACCACCCACCAUUUUGACACUUUUUUUUUAAUCAAUUUUCAANNNNNNNNNNNNNUAUCAAAAGGAAACUCACCAUCUGCGAGAAUAUCAGUAUCUUUUUUACUGAUUUUGGAGUAAUUUGCCGAGCCCACUCCACCUUCUUGACAAUUUUCUUGAAGUGCCAAAAUUGUCCACACCUUCAAAUCUUUGUGCAUACCAGAUUGGAUACACCUUUGACUUGAAUUCUCCACAAGCCAAUAAAAUCAUUCUCCCAUUAAUUUUUCAACAAUAUCAAACUCUACCAAGUUUGAAAAACACCAGCUGCUGACAUAUAUGCUUUACAUAAACAGUACCGUAUACCCCAAGUACAAACCGUUGGCUCUGAUACCACUGUUAGGAAAUUGAGCUUCCUCCCAAGAUCACUCCAAGCAAUUUAUCAAGCAACAAAUUAAUAGAAAAAAAUAAAUAGAGAAUACAUCAAUCACACAACACAAGAUUUACGUGAAAAACUCCAAAUCUGGAGAAAAAUCACGGCCGUUGUCACAAGACAACUAGAGAAAAAUAUUCACUAUAUGGAAAAUUAUUACAACCACUCUCAAAAAUAAUUUUCUCUCACCCAAGCCCCAAAUACAUAAUCCCGAUAAAUAUUCCUUAACAAAGCAAACCCAUAAUACCCAUAUUGAGGAGCCAAAUGCUCCCUCAAUAUAACUACAUGCUUAAGAAUAUUUUUAUCUCUCAAUUCUCACCAAAAUUUGGAUCGCUUCUCUAGGAUUUGGAUACAAAAAUAAGGAGGAGCACUCCUCUAUUUAUAGCCAAAUUAUGACUUCCUUUUCUUCCUUUUUUCCUUCUUUCCAUGGGCAGCACCUACCCAUUUUCCUUGUUCAAUGGCUAGCCACCCACCAUCUUUGAAUUCAAAGAUGGUUGCUCAACCACCCACCAUUUUGACACUUUUUUUUUAAUCAAUUUUCAAUAAUCACCUCAAUGUGCAAACAAUAAGCACAUAAGUAAACAAAACAAUGAAUCAACAAAGCAAUAACAAAUAACCUCUUAUAAACUUCACUAAAAAUGCCAUCCUAUAAGCGUUUCCUAAACAGCCGCUCAGCACAUCGGUAGCCUUUCCAAGGAGUGGCUGUAACAGAGCAAAAAAAUACUUCAAUCAAUUUCUAAAGCAAAUAAGAAAUUAAAAAUAGAUAAUUGUACUGCAUAAGUAAUAAUAACAGUAUAAAUUCAUAUAUACACAUAGUGCGAACAGAAAAAUUGAACAAAUUAGAUUAGGAUAAAUUAGCUCAGAAAAGUCGAACAAUCAAUUUCAGCCUUAACAUUUCAAAAAUUUUGUAUGAUAAGCUCUCUGAUUGCUGCUAUUAAUUUACCUACUAAUUUCUAUAUUCAAGUUAACUCAGUUAUUCAUUUAAGCUUACCUUGAAAGGGGAUUGAGGCAAAACGGCAGCGACGGCAGCAGCUCGAUUGCAGUGACGAACGACUGAGUAUUAAUGAUGGCUGGAAGCUGUUAAAGCCCAUGGGUGAUGACAGCUGGAAGCUGUUACAGCCCAUGGGUGAUGACGGUAGCUAUCGGUGACGAACAACUGAGUGUUGAUGAUGGCAGUGGCUUGUCGAAAGUAAUGAUGCAAGUUAGCGUGGGGUGGGUUUGUUUUCUAAGUUACGAUUGACAAUACGAUGAAAUGGGGGAGAGGGAUCUCGACUGAGAUUUAGGGAUUUUGAUUUUGCUAUUAUAUUAUUCUUACGCCUCUAUAUAUAGUAUUUGCAUCGUUAUUCUAGGGUCAAGUGGUUUAUGAUCCAAACUUAAAAGUUUUGAAUCUUAGAAGUCCCGGGUUCGAGAUGCACUUAAACAAAUUAUAAUGAUUAUUUUUCAAUCAGUGAUACUUUUGUGUCAGUAAUUUUUUUUAUGGAAAAUGAUGUUUGUCUCGGGUCAAACCCCAAAACGACUCAAAACGGCGUCGUUUCGUUCUAGUUGUUUUUUUCUUUUAUACCCUUUGAAAUGACGCCGUUUAGAGAAUAAUGAAAACGCAAAACAAAAUCCAUUUUCCUGCACCCACUGCCCUUCGAAACAGCACCCAUUGCCCUUCAUCUUCAUCUCCUCGUUUCACCGGACAGCCCCCUUUGACCAGACAAUCACAACUGAAUUGCAGAUCCUUCAGAAGGCAGCUGUUCCUUCGUUCGCCUUGUUCCCCUUUCCUUCAUCGACCGAGUUGCAACCAUUCGCAAUCCACCACAACCGCGACUGAAACUGCCAUUUGACAACUUCACUCUCUCACUUGCUUCUACAGAAAUUAGUAGAAUGCCAGGAGAUGGGCGAAGAGGUUUUGAAAUCAGUAGAGACUCAAGUUCCUGCUGCUGUUUAAAUUAAAAUCAGACCAACACUAAGAUGAAGGUCUCCAAUCUCAAUGGAUUUUUUUAUUUUUGUGCUUUCCAAUGUGAACUCUAGGGCCAGAAGCCCACAAUAAACACUUAUAUUUUUUCUCACUGCAUGAUUUUUCCAUCCUUGUAGCUAUUAGGCAAAUUAUUUACUGCAGGAUGUUACAGGAUCACGGCUUUGUAAUCUUUUGGGUGGUAGAUUUUUGGUUGAUAAGAUAUUGAGUUGGUGUUGUAUCUUUUCCGUCUUUCUGAAACCGCCUUCAUCUGGAGCUGUUGUAACAUGGAAUAUCAUUGUGACAACUUUUGGAAAAUAAAAGCAAGUCUUUUAAUUUGCACUUUGUUUACAGUUUGCUCUGGUGUCUCAAUGUUGAUGCAAAUUAGAAAAUCAAAUUAAAAUUGAAAUCUGUUUUUGUUAUUAGUUAGCACUAGCAUUUUCA